rnacentral:lncRNA from 1 species
UGCAGCUGGCUCAGUUGAAGCUGGGAGUGAUAAAAGAAGGGGGGAAAGCCGGAAAUUGCAAUUACCAACGAGGUUCUAGAAAGAAAUAGGGACUUGCCAUACAAGAUUAGAACAUUCCAGUGUUUGCUUCUGCCCUGUUUCUCCUUGUAGAACUUAUCUCACUGCCUCAGGACUUUUUCAAUUUAUUUCCCCAAACUGGAUGCUGGUCUGUGAGAUUUCCUCAAUCUGGGUGACAGAUGAAGGUCGACCUUUGAUCAACACCCAUGGAAGGAGAGGCUCCUCUUAAGGAUGAACAGAAGCAGCUACAAGCAGGAGCCAACCAAAAAGAGGAUGAUGCAAAUGAUUAUUUUUUUCCCCUUAUACAGGCCCUUCGGAAUCUAGAAGCAGAUGAGGGAAAAGAGGAGGAAGUAAGACUCCAAGGGACAUUGCCAGAAAGAGGGGAGGAUGAAAAGGAGAACUGUUGGGAUGGAAAUGAAUCGCUGAGGCAGAAUCGGGAAGACCAGAGGAGAGACAGAUCUCAAAGAUAUCCGAGCGGCGUUGCCUCUGAAGACGAAAUGGGAAAAACAAC